UGGUUCUCGCAUCGAUGAAGAACGCAGCGAAAUGCGAUAAGUAAUGUGAAUUGCAGAAUUCUGUGAAUCAUCGAAUCUUUGAACGCACAUUGCGCUCCCCGGUAUUCCGGAGAGCAUGCCUGUUUGAGCGUCAGUAUUCUCCUCAAACCCUCCCCGUGGGGGGUUUGGUGAUGGGCCCUUGCGUUCGACGUUUUUGUAGCGUUGGGACGCUGGUCUGAAAUAGAAUGGCCGGGUCGCUGUCUCUGGGCCUUCAGCGUAAUAAGUUGAAUUACUCCAACGGUCUCGCUGAGAAUGCCCUGGAAAGAAGACUUUGCCUAUAAGACUGCGAAACGCUUGACAUCUUGACCUCAAAUCAGGCAGGGAUACCCGCUGA
rnacentral:misc_RNA from 1 species